UGUGUAUGUAUAUUUACUUUUUUUUCUGUCCUGGUGCUGGGAAAGUAUUAUCAUCAGGCUUAAAUCAUUUAUAAGAAUAUUGUUUUACUUUGCUUUAAGAAAAAGUACAAACUGAGGUUGCAUGCUCAACCAUUUUGCACUAUUAAAUCGAGAAAUUGACAAUCACUGACAUGUUAGGAGGACAAAAGUUGCACUGUAAAAUGUAGUUUACUGCUUCCUCUUGGUGUUAAUAAUAAUAAUUAAAAGUUAUACUUUCAAUUUUUUUACUGAGAGUAAACGUGUUGCAGAUUAAAAAAAAAGGAUUUCAGAGUGUAAUAAAUGCAACUUAACAUUAAUAUUAUAAAUACAAUGUUAUUAUUUCCUCAGUAAGCACACAAUUGGACCUUAAUGUUUUCUUAGUAAAACAGGAUCAGGCUGGACUAGUUGCUUUAUAUAUUUCAGGAGAAUUUGUUCCUAUUAUUUUGAAGAUUGAAUAUGAAAAUGCUCUUUUGUAUCUCCCAGCAUCUUUAAGAACGGACGUGCUGUUU